rnacentral:rRNA from 1 species
UACGUAGGGUGCGAGCGUUGUCCGGAAUUAUUGGGCGUAAAGAGCUCGUAGGCGGUGUGUCGCGUCGAUCGUGAAAACUUGGGGCUUAACCCUGAGCUUGCGGUCGAUACGGGCAUCACUUGAGUUCGGCAGGGGAGACUGGAAUUCCUGGUGUAGCGGUGAAAUGCGCAGAUAUCAGGAGGAACACCGGUGGCGAAGGCGGGUCUCUGGGCCGAUACUGACGCUGAGGAGCGAAAGCGUGGGGAGCGAACAGG